GCCAAACCAGACAAUUUUCAAGUAACUACACAAUUUAGCUAUAAGGCUUAAAACUAACAUUUUGUAAAAACCAAUCAAAGCAACUUCAAAAAUUCUAUAAACAUGUCUUGCAGUCCUUAAUAAUGCUAUUAUACUAUUUCAAAAUGAAUUAAAAUUUUCUGGUUGCCUACGGAUAUUUUAUGAAUUUUUAUUCUCAACCCCACAUUAGGCAAAAAGAGCAAUUCGGAGUUCG
rnacentral:misc_RNA from 1 species